GUGCUCACUUUGGCAGCACAUAAACUAAAAUUGGAAUGAUACAGAGAUGAUUACCAUGGCCCUGUGCAAGGAUGCCAUGCAAGUUCAUGAAACAUUCCAUACUUUU
ensembl:snRNA U6 U6 spliceosomal RNA